CAGAGUAGACCAUGACGCGUGAAGUGUCCGGCGGACGGGGAGUUGUCGCCGGAACGAAAGAAUCCUAAGGAUUACUGCGGUGUCAGGGUCGCAUCCCGCUG
rnacentral:ncRNA from 1 species